rnacentral:lncRNA from 10 species
GGAGGGGGCCGGGCUAGCGGGCUACUGGGCUGCGGAGACCAGAGCCCGGCUCCACUGAAGAAACCCGCCGGCUGCUGGGGCAGGGCGGCGAAAGGUCAGUCGGCCGAGAGGAGUCCGUGGAGCCACCGUUUCAUAGCCUCAGGGAAAGGAUCGGGCGUGCUCACGAGCCCUCUAACCCAUGGCUUAAACACCCGCUUCCUAAGCCUGGGAACACCUAAUAAGAGUAAAGGCAAAGAGGUCCUGAAUAUAUCACAUGUGGUGAUAAACAUGAAGAUGUAUGAAAAAUUGUGUUCGUUGAGAGAAAAUGGAAGGCUUUUCAUUCUACUUCCACAUUUUCAUUCCAGCAGCUUUUCUGUUUUGGAAGAUGAGUACUGAAUCUUGCAAUGAAAUUUUUUUAACUUAAACAAGGCAAGGAAAAUGAAGCGCAGAGACGUUAAAUAACUCUCUCAAGGUCAUGCAGCUGAGAAGAGAUGAGACUUGAACUCCAGUGCCAGCCCUGUUAAUCACUAUUCUGUACUGUCUUUCAGGUUCUUAUGCCUUUGUUUGAAAAACAUGGUUCCCUGUGAAAUUUUACAUGUAGAAGAAAGCUUCACACUACGAGAGCUCUCAGGAUAUAAUUAUUUCAGACAGAUACUGGGAACAUAAGAUGGCUUAUCAAUCUAAGAUGGCCUUCCUGUCCUUCGGAUUGAACUGAAACCAUCCCUGAUUCCAGGGAUAGGUAGAUGAUCCAGGUUUGGACAAUCAAAAUAUUGAACCACCCUGGACCUACAAGUGUUUCUGGGAUGGGAACAUGCAAACGUUGGUCCAAAUUGUUGUUCUAGGCAGCCCAGUACAUUUCUCCAAUGCCUGGUGGAAUGAUAGGGUAUGCAUAAAUGUUCAUGUGGGCUCUGGAGUAUACCAGGAACUGAAGUAAGGUACAUGGACGUCUUGAAUAUUGUAACUGAGAUGGGCAAGCCUACACCUUUGCAAAUAAAGGAGGAUUGGGAAAGAUUAAGGUCCUGUUAAACGUCAGUGUUACUAUUUAGCCUUUGAUAUCUCCAGUAAAGGCAACUUCUUUCUGGACCCAGAAAUAAAGCUUUACAUUAGCAGCUUCCAUAACACCAAUAACAUGAAUGACCAUCUACUGAGCAAUUGCAGUGCACCAGGAUUAUGGCUUAUGAGCACUUUAUGUUUAUUAUCUCACAACUCACUGAGUUAGAUACUCUCCACAACCCAGUGAGGAUGAUUGAGUCUCAGAAUUGUUCUUUAAUCCUCAGUAUUUCCAUUAAGAAGAGCUUCUAUCAAGUGCUUCAAAAGUACCCAAUGUGAAGGAGUAAUAAUGACUCCCUGACGGGGGGUCUCACUAUGUUGUCCAGACUAGAUUCGAGCCCCUGAGCUCAAGGGAUUCUCCAGCCCCAGCCUCCCGAGUAGCUGGAACUGCAGGCACCCGCCACCACGCCCAGGGACAGUUACUUGAUUCUUAAUAGUCCAGUCAUAAUGAGACAGGAUACUGCAUAAGCCAAAGACCACACAAAGUAUCAAUGUAUAAUGCUGUAUUCAUUGAUCAUAUUUCUGUAUUUAAAUAAGUACAUUUUUUAAAACAUCAUAAAGUGGAUCAGUAAUGCUGUAAUAUCACAUUUCAUGUAUUAUACAACAUUUUUGAAAUGGAGUACUCCAAAGUAAUUUGCUUCUUAUGGUUACCAAAGUUUAAAGAAUACCCUAACAUGCACUCCAAGAUUUUAAGAGGAAAGGCUUUGUGUUUUUCAUUACUGUAUUUUGAAAUCUGAGAGUGCAAAACUAGUUUUCUUAGGUAAACCCCGUAAUCAGUUUCCACAUUUACCUGUAAAAGUCAGUGGAGGGCAUACAUCUGGAAGUAGUAGUGGCGGUACACAAUGUGUGUUAAUAUGAUUUCCAAGGGGUAUCUAGAGUAAACUUUCUUAAUCACAGAUCUGAUCUGAGCAUGCCACUCCUUUCUUAAAAUCUUUUGUUGAUUUUCCAUUUCCCUAAAAGGAAGGCCCACUGGAGCAUGGGCCUUGCAAAGUCCUCUUUCUGGCUUCUGCCUGCCUGCCUUUUCAGCUUCAUCUCUGCCAUCUUCCCUGAAUGAACUUUUGUCAGUGGCCUCGCUCUUUCUACCUAUGAGAUGUUGUUUCUGCAUGUUCUUGCAUGGAAUUCUCUUCCUCCCAACCCUGUUUCAUUCCUUUAAUCUGUACAACUCUUUCUUAUCCUGAAGUCUUUAUGUUAAGGUUGCCUUUUCAGGAAGACUUUUAAUUGUAUUAGCUAAUUAAUUAAUUAAUAGUCUGAGGUAUUUGGAGCUGAGAUUCUAUGGGGAUUAGUUGCUGGAGGGUAGUUUAGAGCCAGAUUGUGAAGGACUUUCUAAACUGUGCUUUCAAGGUUUUGAACAGGAAAAUGAUGUAGACUUUCUGUUUUUUGUAAGUUUGGAGGAUGGCUUGUGUCUUAAAAGAAUAUGUAACAUAACCAUCUAAUUUGUGAGUAGUGGACUAAGGAAACACCACUCUAACCUUUUUCUCUCUGCGAUAAUCCCAUCUUCAGCCUCUCAAGCACUGUGAAAAAUCACUUUCUCUUGUUGUAUUCUUGGAGCCCCUGCUAAUUCAUUAUUGAAAAAUACCUGCUGCCUGCAUUUGGCCUUAUGUUGUCAUUUACUUGGGUCUGUGCAUGGCGUUUAGAAGGCUACACCUUAGGCUGGGGGUCAAGAAUGUCUUCCCUGAUGUGAGGUUUACACAGAGAUCUGAAGAAUGAAGAGUCCAGCUAAGUACUUCCUAAGCGUGGCUACUCCAAUGAAGCUUUAGUAUAUGUACUGAAAGAAGAUCCUCUCAUACUGCCACAGCCAAGAGAUAAGGUUGUAAAUCUUUAUUGGGAGAAGCCGUCAAGGACAGUUCUGUGAAAUGAAAGGAUCUCUGGAUCACCACAAAGUCUGGCUCAGUGACUAUGGCUUUGCAAACACUAAACAUUCCUGUCUCAAGUCCUGUAGAUGGCUUGAAAUAGUAUACAUAAGCAUGCCUUAUAAACAUCUUCAGUCUUUAUCAACUCUUUGGAGAUUCAGCCAUUCUUUUUUGUACUUUAGGGAAUUAAAUCAUUUUAUAAUGUAUAAAUCUGAGCAUGGCCGAUGGCAGAAGAAAUUUUGUCAUACGUUUUUAAAGAAAUAAAAAUGUAUUAUGUUUUAAAAU